rnacentral:rRNA from 1 species
UACAGAGGGGGCAAGCGUUGUUCGGAAUUACUGGGCGUAAAGGGCGCGUAGGCGGCUUUUCAAGUCGGGGGUGAAAGCCUGUGGCUCAACCACAGAAUUGCCUUCGAUACUGUUAGGCUUGAGACCGGAAGAGGUGAGUGGAACUGCGAGUGUAGAGGUGAAAUUCGUAGAUAUUCGCAAGAACACCGGUGGCGAAGGCGGCGAUCUGGACGAUGACUGACGCUGAGACGCGAAAGCGUGGGGAGCAAACAGG